rnacentral:rRNA from 1 species
AGUGAACGCUGGCGGUAGGCCUAACACAUGCAAGUCGAACGGCAGCACAGUAAGAGCUUGCUCUUACGGGUGGCGAGUGGCGGACGGGUGAGGAAUACAUCGGAAUCUACUUUUUCGUGGGGGAUAACGUAGGGAAACUUACGCUAAUACCGCAUACGACCUACGGGUGAAAGCAGGGGAUCUUCGGACCUUGCGCGAUUGAAUGAGCCGAUGUCGGAUUAGCUAGUUGGCGGGGUAAAGGCCCACCAAGGCGACGAUCCGUAGCUGGUCUGAGAGGAUGAUCAGCCACACUGGAAAUGAGACACGGUCCAGACUCCUACGGGAGGCAGCAGGGGGGAAUAUUGGACAAUGGGCGCAAGCCUGAUCCAGCCAUACCGCGGGGGUGAAGAAGGCCUUCGGGUUGUAAAGCCCUUUUGUUGGGAAAGAAAAGCAGCAGGUUAAUACCCCGCUGUGCUGACGGUACCCAAAGAAUAAACCCCGGCUAACUUCGU